rnacentral:misc_RNA from 1 species
AUCUUCACUUAGGAUAAUUGAUGUCCAUUCAAAUAUGUUUGGUGGUGAGAUUCCACCAGAGCUUUGUGUCCUUGAAGUUCUUUGCAUAUUGAACCUAGCAGACAAUAAGAUGAUAGGAAGCAUUCCUCCUUGUUUUGGCAAUUUUACUGCAAUGGCUUUCUCUGAGUUGGAGUUUCAUGAUAUUUGGGAAUUAUAUCCUUCCUAUGACGUCAUGGACUAUGAUGAGCAUGCUGCGGCUUAUGUGAAAGGAAGACAGCUAGAAUAUACGAAAACAAUUCGAUUUCUCUUUUCCAUUGACCUUUCAGGAAAUAAUUUUGUCGGGGAGAUUCCACAAGAGUUGACACUUCUUACGCGAUUGAGGAACUUGAAUUUAUCUAGAAACUAUUUGAAGGGGCAUAUACCUUCAAAGUUGGCAACUUAAAAUUGCUGGAAUCUCUUGAUUUGU